UGCCUAGUAGUGGUGUAUGAAUUGAGGCAUCUUAUGGUUUAAUAUGGUAUAAAUAUGAAUUAAAUUCAAUGAGAUUUAGUCUUUUGAUGUUUAUUCUAAAGGUUAUGUAAGUUAUAAAUAAGGAUUUUUGUUUAAUGGAGAGUUUACGAUCCAAGAAAAAGUAAACGACUCCUAUAAAGAAAUUAAGAUAAUUAUAUAAUCUUUAACAAAUUAGGAAUCAUUGAUUAUUCAGAUUUGAUGGACAUAAAAGUAUACAAGAUAAGAAGUUCUAUAUUUGGGAUUUCAUGAUUAUGUUAAAAAAAAAAAAAAAAAUUGUGAUUCGUAUUGAUCUCACUACGCAUUUAUGCGAAUAAAUUCUAAGCCAAAAUGAUUAAGAGUUUAUAAAGAUAGAAAAGAUUGGUUAAUAGUUAAUAGGAGUAUUUACAAGUCAUGGAAGAUUUAUGGAUUUAUGUGAGAUAUCUAUGAUUAAAAAAAAAAGUGCGAAUUGCUAUGAGUUAGUAAAUUCUAUUUGGAUCGUUAUGGAUAAAUGGUUAAGUUGGAAUAGUCCAUAUGGCACAUUGCAUGAGUUGCAUAACCUUAUGAUUGUGUAUAAAUACUUUUACGUAUUGAGAUUUGGAACUUUGGUAUUAUUUUUCUCUUGAGUGGACCUUGCAAGUAUGCAUGUAUGACUCUAUGUAUGUAUGCAUGACAGUGUUUGAGAUUAAGUAUCACGAUGGAAUUAAGUUAUUAACACUGUUAUAAGAAUAAGAUAUAUGAUCUCAGGAGAAUACUGUUAUGAGAAUAAGCUAUAUGAUCUUUAUGUUAAGGAUCUAAUCGGUGUUAUGCAAAAUAAGUUUAUGUAUUUUAAAUAUGGAAUGGUUAAAUUUGCUAUUAUGGAUGUUCAGUUGGAAGAAUCAUGUAUAGAAUAUACGGAUAGUAAGCACUAGUUGAUUAAGGAAGAAUAAACUAAAUCGGAAAAAUAUUAUGAGAUUCGUAAUUGCUAAAUUCAAGUGAAUUUCGAGGACGAAAUUCUUUAAGGGGGGUAGAAAUGUAACGCCCCAUUUUUUCUGUGUCUGAAAUAGUAAGUUACCG
rnacentral:lncRNA from 1 species